rnacentral:lncRNA from 10 species
GCCCAGAACAGGGGCGGAAUGACCAAAAGUACAAAAUGGAUGCCAGUCGGAAGAGCCUUCCCGACCAGAGUGAGGCUGGGAAAGCAGAGGUGGCCAUGCUCGCCCCGGAACGGCUAGCCCCAGGCUGUGGGGAGCAGUGCCUGCUAGGCCCAGGCCCUGCACAGGAGGACCCUUGCCUGGCAACCGGGACAAAGAUAAGCCUCUAGCGUCUGGGCCUCAAACCAGCCAGGCUGGGCCCAGGAGGCGGGAGAAAUUACUCUGAGAAUUCAUAAUAAUAAAAGCAGGAAUCGAUAUCAUCAUGGCAGCUAUGUAGACAGUACAAACCUUGCAUGUUAGCUCAUUUUAUCAUCUCAACAACCCGAAAACAAAUGAACUAUUUAGUAACAUCCCCGUUUUACAGACAGGAAAACUGAGGCCCAGAAAGCUGCCCUCCAGGUAAUGGCCCAGGGUACAGAUUCCACAACAAAGCCAAGCCGCUGGGCUUGAAUCCUGGUCCAGCUGCUCACUGUGUGAACCUUGGGCAAGUUAUUUACAGGCGGCUUUUUUUCUUCAGCAUCCUCAUCCGGCAAAUGGGAAUAGUUACAGGGUUGCAGUUAAACAAGCUGAUGCAUGUUAACUGGUGGAAAUGUGCCUGGUACGAUCAGAAAAGACUUCAAGUGUUAGGCUAGGCUGGCGACAGGGUGCUGAGCAGGCUGGGGGAGGUGGCACUGAAGACAGAAAACGUGGACAUCCAGAAACUCCAUCUAACAGAUGUAAGACUCUUCAGAUUAUCUAAGCCGGGCGUGGUGGUUCACGCCUGUUCCCAGCACUUUGGGAGGCCGAGGUGGGUGGAUCACCUGAGGUCAGGAGUUCAAGACCAGCCUGGCCAACAUGGUGAAACCCUAUCUCUACUAAAAAUACAAAAAUUAGCUGGGCGUGGUGGCACUUGCCUGUGAUCCCAGCUACUCAGGAAGCUGAGGCAGGAGAACUGCUUGAACCCGGGAGGCAGAGCUUGCGCAACAUUGUGCCACUGCACUCCAGCCUGGGUGAUAGAGCAAGACUCCAUCUCAAAAAAAAAAAAAAAAGACUAUUCGGAUUAUCUAUUUCAUCUUGUGUCAGUUUUGUUUUCCAAGUAAUUUGCCCACUUCACCUAAGCUGUUGAAUUUGUUGGAAUAAAAUUGU